UCUUCUAAUCGGAUUAAAAUCUGGCCGAAUUUUGGCCGAUAUCGAAAAAAAGUUUGGCCGAUUUGGCCGUGAGAUGGCGUGUGUUUGGCCGUGAAGCCUGUUGACUAUCUGGCAACCCUGCUACCAAUUCCGAUAAAGUUUUCCUUAUUAACCAGUCAAAACUUUCGUUGAAAGUAAACAUUUAGGAGGAUGUCACUCCGCUGCAUCACACUCAGGAAUGCUAUGCAGUAAAGAUCACUGGUAAGUAAGAAAAUCAGGGAAGGCCUAAUAGGGGGCCUAGGCUCUCGGCCUAAGGCUAAAAUGCCUAUUUUAUUACUACAUACAUACAGUACUACUUGGCGGUCCUACUAAAUACCACACGGAACCACUCGCGACCACACGGGACCACUCGCGACCACACGGGUGCAAAAAUGAUAAAAAUAUUACCACACGAGAGUAGAAAACUACUUAAUAAUCAAUAGAAACCAACUUUUAGUACGGUAAUUAUCCAAAAUACGGUAAAAUAUAUAUGAAUAUAUUAAGACUAAUAAUUUUACGUGUGCAUUUCUUCCUUUUCCUUCCAGGUGAGAAUGGAAGGUGAUGUAGAUCAUGAGUGCACCAUUUGUUCACUGUGAAAUCAAAUCUUACCCGUCAUAUGAAGCUACAUGAUGAACACGAGAACUGAAGAAUGAUGUUUGUUGUCCCCACAUGAAGUGCCAAAAGCAGCUCCUGGAGUUUGUCUACCGAUUUCCUGCUGUGAAAAUUGAUCUUGAUAACCGCUUGAAAGUAAGACAUGAAUAAUGCCAAUAAGAACAACCCUUCAGUAAUUGAUAGUCAACACUAUUUCUCAGCAUCCGUGAAGCACAAAGAGAAACAAGAACCACUGACAGACCUGGACCCAGAUUACAUUGAAGAUGCUGAACUGUUGGCUGUUGCAGAUGUGCACUUCAGGCCCUACAACACUGUUCUGCUUGUCAUCUCAUAAAAACCUACAGGCACAGGUCACAGAUGCUGUUUCUUAACUAUGCAAGUUUUAAAGUAGUAGCAGUUGCGAUAUUGUCGUUAGUUGUGUAGUACAUUUUUGUUUUCCAUGGUAAUUUAACUUUGAAUGAAGCCCAUUGCCGUUAAUGCGUGUGUUGCUCAUUGGUAAUUAACAUAAUUAAAAGUUCACCCGUUAAUUUUUCACAUCAUCACCAUAAUUCUCAUCGAACAUCUCUUUACUUAAAAUGUGUAUAAAUUAUAUACUGGCACUGUAUUAUGGCCACCAUGGGUCCCCAAGGGCCUACUAGCUGCAAUUUCUAAUUUUAAAUUCCAAACUUGGAAUCAUAACAAUGACAUAACAAUUUUAAAAAAUAAAUAAAACAGUGAGUCAAUUUCCAGUUAAAUUGAAAUUAUUCUACAUAAAUGUUUUUUAAUGAAAUUAUAGUUUACUGCAGUUACUUCUAUAUUGUUGUUUCUGAUGCUGUAAGCAUUUUAAACUAAGUACAGAGACCACUGUAAUUUACAGUGAAGCCUUUCCUGAUAAGCUGCUUUUGCUACUAUUCUACUAUCACACACUAUGUGUGUAAGAUUUUUAAAGUACAGUAUAUCUAUCUAUGAUGUAUGAUAUCAAAAUGUCACUGCUGUAAAUUGUUAAUAAAGGACCUUACAAAUUGAUCCAAGGA